ACAUGUACGUGUUACUGAUCUGAGAGGAGAGGGACCCAUGCUUCGGUAUGGGAGCGUACACAGGUGGCUGCAUGGCUGUCGUCAGCUCGUGUCGUGAGAUGCUGGGUAAGUCCCGCAACGAGCGCAACCCCUGCAUCCAGUUGCCAUCGGGCGAGCCGGGCACUCUGGAGGGACUGCCGGCGACAAGCCGGAGGAAGGUGGGGAUGACGUCAAGUCAUCAUGGCCCUUAUGUCCAGGGCGACACACGUGCUACAAUGGCCGGCACAGCGGGAAGCGGAGGGGCGACCCUGAGCGGAUCCCUUGAAAGCCGGUCCCAGUUCGGAUUGCAGUCUGCAACUCGACUGCAUGAAGUUGGAAUCGCUAGUAAUCGCGGAUCAGCCAAGCCGCGGUGAAUACGUUCCCGGGCCUU
rnacentral:rRNA from 1 species